rnacentral:sRNA from 1 species
UGGUUGACCAGGUUGGCUUAGGUGUUAUAGUGCCAGCAACAUUUCCAUGAGCUUCCUUGCUCAGUGCCUCUCUGCCCACCUGCACUUUGUGUCAUUUCUAGGCUCCCCAUCGUUGCAGACAGAUGGAAUCACGGCCACUCCUGUCCCACCUCCACCUCCCCCCAAAAGCAAGCCCUAUGAGGGCAGCCAGAGGAACUCCACUGAGCUCGCUCCCCCACUGCCUGUCCGAAGAGAAGCCAAAGCACCACCCCCUCCACCUCCAAAGGCUCGGAAGUCUGGCAUCCCUACUUCCGAGCCUGGAUCCCAGUAAGGAUCUUGCCCUCCCUGCAACACCGAGUGCCUUAGACAGCUGCUGCCUGAGAACUGGCCUCCAGCCAGUGUCCUCAUUCCAUGGGGCUCCCUGCUGACUGCAUUUCCGGAUCUGGGAUGAUGUUUACCAGCCCAAAACCGGUCAUGUUCUUCCAAAAGCUUCUCUUUGAUAGAAGUUUGAGGCCAUGCCACCUCCUUUCCAGUCCAUAUGGAAUUCCAGAAUCAGUCACAGCCUCUGAAUUUUUCCAAGAGAUUGCAUUCAUCAUUGUUAAAUGUCAGCCUGUACGGCAGAGACGUGGUAGUCUGCACAAGCCUGGACAAGUUCUUCCACAUUGAUGGUGGAGCAACCCCUGUAAUCUACUCCUUGGAAGGAUUUUUUGCUUUGCUUAUGAAAAGCUGUGCUUGAGACUUAGGUACUUUUCUCACGUGGACACACUGAUCCCAUCCCAUAUUGCACCUUGGAAGAGAUGGAUAUCAAAUACACUUUGGUAGCUGAAAUAAUCAUAUCUUUCUGAUGUCUGUUGUAUCUCCUUUGAGGAAAAGAACACACAUUUUUAAUGGAGAUUGGCUGCUUUCAGAUUGUGGAUCACAUCAUUGCCUAAUUUUAUUAAAGACGGAGUGAAGAAAUUAUUUGAUUCCACUUUAGAGACUCUUCCAAUGGAGGUAUUUGGGAAAUCUGUCACUGUGCAGUAGCAAAUAUUUGUAUUAAAAAGAGGCGGUUUUCCCCA